UACGUAGGGACCAAGCGUUGUUCGGAUUUACUGGGCGUAAAGGGCGCGUAGGCGGCAUGACAAGUCACUUGUGAAAUCUCCGGGCUUAACUCGGAACGGUCAGCUGAUACUGCUUUGCUAGAGUGCAGAAGGGGCAAUCGGAAUUCUUGGUGUAGCGGUGAAAUGCGUAGAUAUCAAGAGGAACACCUGAGGUGAAGACGGGUUGCUGGGCUGACACUGACGCUGAGGCGCGAAAGCUAGGGUAGCAAACGGG
rnacentral:rRNA from 1 species